rnacentral:rRNA from 1 species
CCUACGGGAGGCUGCAGUGAGGCAUAUUGGUCAAUGGACGAGAGUCUGAACCCGCCAAGUAGCGUGAAGGAUGACUGCCCUAUGGGUUGUAAACUUCUUUUAUAUGGGAAUAAAAUGUUCCACGUGUGGGAUUUUGUAUGUACCAUAUGAAUAAGGAUCGGCUAACUCCGUGCCAGCAGCCGCGGUAAUACGGAGGAUCCGAGCGUUAUCCGGAUUUAUUGGGUUUAAAGGGAGCGUAGGUGGAUUGUUAAGUCAGUUGUGAAAGUUUGCGGCUCAACCGUAAAAUUGCAGUUGAAACUGGCAGUCUUGAGUACAGUAGAGGUGGGCGGAAGUCGUGGUGUAGCGGUGAAAUGCUUAGAUAGCACGAAGAACUCCGAUUGCGAAGGCAGUUCACUGGACUGCAACUGACACUGAGGCUCGAAAGUGUGGGUAUCAAACAGGAUUAGAUACCCCAGUAGUC